rnacentral:rRNA from 1 species
UACGUAGGGUGCAAGCGUUAAUCGGAAUUACUGGGCGUAAAGCGUGCGCAGGCGGUUGUGCAAGACCGAUGUGAAAUCCCCCGGGCUUAACCUGGGAAUGGCAUUGGUGACUGUACGGCUAGAGUGUGUCAGAGGGGGGUAGAAUUCCACGUGUAGCAGUGAAAUGCGUAGAGAUGUGGAGGAAUACCGAUGGCGAAGGCAGCCCCCCUGGGAUGACAACUGACGCUCAUGCACGAAAGCGUGGGGAGCAAACAGG